rnacentral:rRNA from 1 species
UGGGGAAUAUUGGACAAUGGGCGAAAGCCUGAUCCAGCCAUGCCGCGUGUGUGAAGAAGGUCUUCGGAUUGUAAAGCACUUUAAGUUGGGAGGAAGGGCAUUAACCUAAUACGUUAGUGUUUUGACGUUACCGACAGAAUAAGCACCGGCUAACUCUGUGCCAGCAGCCGCGGUAAUACAGAGGGUGCAAGCGUUAAUCGGAAUUACUGGGCGUAAAGCGCGCGUAGGUGGUUUGUUAAGUUGGAUGUGAAAUCCCCGGGCUGAACCUGGGAACUGCAUUGAAAACUGACUGACUAGAGUAUGGUAGAGGGUGGUGGAAUUUCCUGUGUAGCGGUGAAAUGCGUAGAUAUAGGAAGGAACACCAGUGGCGAAGGCGACCACCUGGACUAAUACUGACACUGAGGUGCGAAAGCGUGGGGAGCAAACA